UGAACCAAAGUCUCUUCUUGCUAAGUCCAGAUUUCUUUUUUCCUUGACAGCCCCUAAGUCCUGGGGGCACUGGGUAGACACCUGAGGACCUCAGUAAACAAGAAGGCUGGAUGCAGAUUUUCUCCUUGACACUAUGGCCAAGUAAAGCUGAGUCACUGCUCUCCCAUGCUGAUGAUGCUCUCCUGUGAAUCUUCUCUCUCUUAAGGACCCCAGGAAUCAUGAAGGCAGGGAGAAAAUUUCAAUAAUUUGCUGGCGGCAGUACAAUUGGUGGGAGUGGACUAUUUUCAGCUGCUAUAUACAUGUGAGCCGUGAGUUGGGAGUUUUUGCAGAAUCAGCUUGGAUGAAUUUUUUCUUUUUUCUCAACUCCUUUGGCAUUUAAAAUCUGUACUGCCCAAAUUGGGGCUUGAUUGUACAUUCUCUCAUAUUGUUUCAUGGAAUUAAUCUUACUCCUCAACUA
rnacentral:lncRNA from 1 species